GUCCCCUUCGGGGUGACAUACGUUAAAAUUGGAACGAUACAGAGAAGAUUAGCAUGGCCCCUGCACAAGGAUGACACGCUCAGAUCAGAGUGGCACCAUCUUCGG
rnacentral:snRNA from 1 species